rnacentral:ncRNA from 1 species
UGGCAAAGUACAAGCAUUCAUAAUAACGUCGCUUUUUAAUCCUUUGAUGUCAGCUUUUCCUACCAUUGUGAAGCAGAAUUCACCAAGCGAUGGAUUGUUCAGCCACUAAGAGGGAACAUGAGCUGGGAUUAGACUGCUGUGAGACAGUU